GUGGGGAAUCUUAGACAAUGGGGGAAACCCUGAUCUAGCCAUGCCGCGUGAGCGAUGAAGGCCUUAGGGUUGUAAAGCUCUUUCAGCUGGGAAGAUAAUGACGGUACCAGCAGAAGAAGCCCCGGCUAACUCCGUGCCAGCAGCCGCGGUAAUACGGAGGGGGCUAGCGUUGUUCGGAAUUACUGGGCGUAAAGCGCACGUAGGCGGAUCAGAAAGUCAGAGGUGAAAUCCCAGGGCUCAACCUUGGCACUGCCUUUGAAACUCCUGGUCUUGAGGUCGAGAGAGGUGAGUGGAAUUCCGAGUGUAGAGGUGAAAUUCGUAGAUAUUCGGAAGAACACCAGUGGCGAAGGCGACUCACUGGCCCAAUACUGACGCUGAGGCGCGAAAGCGUGGGGAGCAAACAGGAUUAGAUACCCGUGUAGUCC
rnacentral:rRNA from 1 species